rnacentral:rRNA from 1 species
UACAGAGGUGGCAAGCGUUGUUCGGAAUUACUGGGCGUAAAGCGCACGUAGGCGGCUUUGUAAGUUAGAGGUGAAAGCCCGGGGCUCAACUCCGGAACUGCCUUUAAGACUGCAUCGCUUGAAUCCAGGAGAGGUGAGUGGAAUUCCGAGUGUAGAGGUGAAAUUCGUAGAUAUUCGGAAGAACACCAGUGGCGAAGGCGGCCCACUGGACUGGUAUUGACGCUGAGGUGCGAAAGCGUGGGGAGCAAACAGG